rnacentral:rRNA from 1 species
UACAGGGAGUCACAGUGUUCGGUCGAUUCAUUGGGGCGUAAAGGGUGCGUAGGCGGCGCGGUAAGUCGGGUGUGAAAUCUCGGAGCUUAACUCCGAAACUGCAUUCGAUACUGCCGUGCUUGAGGACUGGAGAGGAGACUGGAAUUUACGGUGUAGCGGUGAAAUGCGUAGAUAUCUGGAGGAACACCGGUGGCGAAGGCGGGUCUCUGGGGCCGAAAUUGACGCUGAGGAGCGAAAGCGUGGGGAGCAAACAGG